GACGAACGCUGGCGGCGUGCUUAACACAUGCAAGUCGAACGGAAAGGCCCUGCUUUUGUGGGGUGCUCGAGUGGCGAACGGGUGAGUAACACGUGAGUAACCUGCCCUUGACUUUGGGAUAACUUCAGGAAACUGGGGCUAAUACCGGAUAGGAGCUCCUGCUGCAUGGUGGGGGUUGGAAAGUUUCGGCGGUUGGGGAUGGACUCGCGGCUUAUCAGCUUGUUGGUGGGGUAGUGGCUUACCAAGGCUUUGACGGGUAGCCGGCCUGAGAGGGUGACCGGCCACAUUGGGACUGAGAUACGGCCCAGACUCCUACGGGAGGCAGCAGUGGGGAAUAUUGCACAAUGGGCGGAAGCCUGAUGCAGCAACGCCGCGUGCGGGAUGACGGCCUUCGGGUUGUAAACCGCUUUCGCCUGUGACGAAGCGUGAGUGACGGUAAUGGGAAAGAAGCACCGGCUAACUACGUG
rnacentral:rRNA from 1 species